rfam:Ovis aries breed Texel chromosome 2, whole genome shotgun sequence.
UUCCUGAUGGCUCAGAGGAUAAAGCAUCUACCUGCAAUGCAGGAGACCCAGGUUCAAUCUCCGGGUUGGGAAG